UACGGAAGGCAGCAGUGGGGAAUAUUGCACAAUGGGCGCAAGCCUGAUGCAGCCAUGCCGCGUGUAUGAAGAAGGCCUUCGGGUUGUAAAGUACUUUCAGCGGGGAGGAAGGCGAUGUGGUUAAUAACCGCAUCGAUUGACGUUACCCGCAGAAGAAGCACCGGCUAACUCCGUGCCAGCAGCCGCGGUAAUACGGAGGGUGCAAGCGUUAAUCGGAAUUACUGGGCGUAAAGCGCACGCAGGCGGUCUGUCAAGUCGGAUGUGAAAUCCCCGGGCUUAACCUGGGAACUGCAUUCGAAACUGGCAGGCUAGAGUCUUGUAGAGGGGGUAGAAUUCCAGGUGUAGCGGUGAAAUGCGUAGAGAUCUGGAGGAAUACCGGUGGCGAAGGCGGGCCCCUGGGACAAAGACUGACGCUCAGGUGCGAAAGCGUGGGGAGCAAACAGGAUUAGGAUAACC
rnacentral:rRNA from 1 species